GUCCAUGGCCAUACCACCCUGAACGCGCCUGAUCUCAGAAGCUAAGCAGUGUCAGGCCUGGUUAGUACUUGAAUGGGAGACAGCCUGGGAAUACCGGGUGCUGUAGGCU
rnacentral:rRNA from 1 species